CACUUUUUUCAAAUAGGCGUAUCUAGCAUUGACAUGAAAUUGAGAAAUCGAGGUGUGAAGUUUUCAUUCAGAAAAUAAAUUAAAUAUUUCAAAUUAAAAGCUCUAAUAUUCCAAAAACCGCUCCACCGUCUUCAGUGUCUAAUGGUUUACCAUGGUAUAAUUUGGUAUGAUUAUUGAGAUUGAUUUACCCACUCAAAACUGACAAAAAUAUGCUCACGCCCUUUAAGUUUUGGCAUAUUGGUUGCGCCCUUUACAUAUAUCGCCAUUUGACAAAACAAAAAUUAAUUUCGCCUGUUUACAUAGCCUUUUUGUGUUUUGGAUGUUUAAUGUCGCCCUGUUGCUGAGCCUGUUUACCAAUCGAGAAAACAAAUGCGCCCUUCUGCAUUUUGUUUAGUAAUUCGUAAAUUACUAGGAAAACCCAGGUAAAAAUUUAAGAUUGAUCCUGAACGCGUAAGAUUUGCAGUGGUGGUGCAAUCAGUCGUGAGCGAUGCAGUUCUAUCCAACGGAUAAAAAUAAAAUAAGGCUGUUAUCAGUAA